rnacentral:rRNA from 1 species
UACGUAGGGUGCAAGCGUUGUCCGGAAUUAUUGGGCGUAAAGAGCUCGUAGGCGGUUUGUCGCGUCGAAUGUGAAAACCCGGGGCUCAACUCCGGGCCUGCAUUCGAUACGGGCAGACUAGAGUUCGGUAGGGGAGACUGGAAUUCCUGGUGUAGCGGUGAAAUGCGCAGAUAUCAGGAGGAACACCGGUGGCGAAGGCGGUUCUCUGGGCAUGACCUGACGCUGAGGAGCGAAAGUGUGGGGAGCGAACAGG